UGGGGCGUGGCCAAGUGGUUAAGGCACCGGAUUUUGAUUCCGGCAUUCGUAGGUUCGACUCCUACCGCCCCAGCCA
rnacentral:tRNA from 2 species